rnacentral:rRNA from 1 species
GAUGAACGCUGGCGGCGUGCCUAAUACAUGCAAGUCGAGCGGAAGGACGAGAAGCUUGCUUCUCUGAUGUUAGCGGCGGAGGGGUGAGUAACACGUGGAUAACCUACCUAUAAGACUGGGAUAACUUCGGGACACCGGAGCUAAUACCGGAUAAUAUUUUGAACCGCAUGGGUCAAAAGUGAAAGACGGUCUUGCUGUCACUUAUAGCUGGAUCCGCGCUGCAUUAGCUAGUUGGUAAGGUAACGGCUUACCAAGGCAACGAUGCAUAGCCGAACUGAGAGGGUGAUCGGCCACACUGGAACGGAGACACGGUCCAGACUCCUACGGGAGGCAGCAGUAGGGAAUCUUCCGCAAUGGGCGAAAGCCUGACGCAGCAACGCCGCGUGAGUGAUGAAGGUCUUCGGAGCGUAAAACUCGGUUAUUAGGGAAGAACAUAUUUGUAAUUAACUGUGCACAGCUUGACGGUACCGAAUCAGAAAGCCACGGCUAACUACGUG